AAGUGGGCCAGAUCAUCUUUCCACGGGUGCCAGAUGUGGGCCGGAUCUGGGCCGACACAAUGUUGCUAUGUGGGGAACCAGUCAUAGUUUUGGAGAUUACAUAUAUUUAAUCAAAUGUGUUUGAUUACAUGUGUGUGAGGGAUAAUAUACAGUCAUUAUCUCUAAAUAUUGGCUUCUCAAAUAAAAUCAUGGACAGCAUUUGAUUUGAGUUUAAAUUAUUUUCUGACUUCACACAUAUAAAGUUAUGCUCUUCCUCAAUAUUUUGUCCUUAUUUCCAUCACAAUGUCUAAAGAUCAUAUACUGUACUGCAGAAUAACCUAGGAAUUGUUAACCUUAUUUAGAUUUUAAUUUAAGUUGAUUUUAUCCCCUCAUUUUAAGCAUUAGGUCAAUCAAUUUUUUUACUUUAAAUUUUCCAGAAAUUAAAAUUUAACAUAUCAUUAUACUUCUCCAAACACAUGCACAUGCACUAAAGCAAUAAUGUUGUCAGCAUUACUUUAUUAAUCUUAAAUACAAGCUUUAUAGCUUUAGGGAGUGUGUAUGUGUUUGUCAGUGAAUGAGUGACUUUGUGUGUGUGUGUGUGUGUGUGUGUGUGUGUGUUUCUCGGACUGCAGCUCUACUGCUGGAAACCCAGAGGGCUUCAUUAAAGCAAACUCUACAGGAAAUGUGAGAGAAACCAUCAUAUAAACGCAGGGACACUGGUCUAUUUUUAUCUCAGUAUUUUAUAACUGGAUCUGAAUGGAGCCGCAGCUGUAAGAUCUAAAGCUGCUGUUAAUCACAAGUGGCUUCUCAUCAUUUGAGGCCAUGUGAGAGGAUGCGUCAUCAUCAAAUAUGAAAGAGAACAGUGAUGAGGCGGUUUACACAUGUGAGUAUUAGAAACCAAAAACACGGUUUCUUGUGUUAAAAUAACAUUUCUUGAGUGACUGUAGAGUGAACCGUUGAAUUGCUGAAGGUGUAGAGAUGCUAAAGUGUCUAGUAUAUCCAUGAUUGUGCUUUAAAAACAUAUUUUAUUGUGCAUAGCUUACUGAGCUCCAGUAAGCACACGUACAUCUCCAAAGUGGAUUUACACAAAAGCAUAUACAGUACAUCUUAAAGACCCUUACUUAAUGUCUAUUUAACAUCUGACAGGAAAACAUUCGAUAAGAAUUGCAGAUGAGCUCAUCCCAACACGAGUCAGGCAUCAGAGUGAGAGAUGUAUGUGUGUGUGUGAUGAGCAGGCCGGUGGAGUAAAUGAUAACAAGUAAGUAAAAGAAAGAAUCUAAAUGUAAGUAAUGUAAAAAAAACAAAUAAAUAAAAUCUACAUAAAGUAACUAAACACAAGUUGUCGAUUUUAUCUGUCCAUUAGUACUUUUGAUAAAUUGAGGAGCAUUUGUGUUGGACAAAAGCCAGUAAACACAACAUAUUGUUACAUUUUCACACAAGGGACAUGUUUUAACCGCUCUAUUUAUUAUAGUGAUUUUAUGAAUUAUAGAGUUUUAAUUGGUUUUCAUGUUUCUUAUGUGCAUUUUAUGCCUCUUAACCCUUUUAGUGUGUGUAUGUCUUUAAGAACUGUAUGGUUGGCCUGUCAGAUGAUCAGUCAUAUAAAUCAGGCCCAGGCCCAUGCCCAGGCCAUUCACAGCUUCCAAUCACACUCGGACUGUGGAGUUUCGUUUUCAUUGGACUUACCUUUCUGGAUCACUUACAGCAACUUGGACACUGCUGGACACUCAGGACUCAAUGACAUACUGGGAUUCUUGGACUGUUUUUAAGGUAUGGACAAAAUACCUGUAUUCUUUUAACAGACUGAGUUUACUUGGUUUAAUAGUGUUGUUUUUACGUCUUUUUAUUUGAACCUGUAAAUACACCAUUCUUAUUAAUAGGGCUAUAUGAUUAAUCGCAUGCAGUUGUCAUGAUGUCGUGAUCAGUACUUAGGCAGUAUGCGUCUUUUCAGUGUUACUGUUCAUUUAACUGAUGUAACUUAUUUUGUUACAGCAAAAACUGAGAAAAAUGUCAUCAGUUGAUGUACAUCAGGUUGACGUACUCUCUCUCUCAGACGUGUGUCUUAAUUUGAUUAAUAAAAAAUCUAUUUCAAGGGCUGCAAGAUUAAUUGCAUGCGAUUGUCAUGUGUGUCUCGUCAGUAAAGAUGGUUUUGUGAUUAGCGGUAGACAUUUUUAGAAUGUUUUCAGAGAAUCUUAUCCUAUCUUUUGAGAGAAUGUUCUGGGAACAAAAACAAAACUACCCACUAAAACCAUUAGCAAUCCAUGUUCUUAGAACAUUUUAGAACAAAACAAAAUCUAGCUGGAAAGUGCCCUAACCCUAACUCCAUUUGAAACCAAGUAAUGGACAUUUACUGCUAAUCACAGAACCAGCUUUGGUGAAGAGACACGCAUGACAAUCGAAUGCGACUAAUUGUCCAGCCCUAAUUUCAACCAAGGUAAAUUGUUGCUGUAUUGUGUAUUAUAGACUUUUAAUUGGUUUUCAUGUUUCUAAUGUCCAUUUUAUGUCUCUUAACCAUUUUAGUGUGUGUAUGUCUUCAAGAACUGUAUGGUUGGCCUGUCAGGUGAUCAAUGCUUGGGUUGCUUUGCAGCUCCUGGGUCGAAUGUAACAACCCAAUGUUUGGGUAGUUUUUGUAUUACUCAGACCUUGGGUCAGAUGUAACCCAGCAGUUGAAUUAUCGCUGGGAUUUUGAUUCUCUUCUGGAGAGAGCAGUUAUAAUUGUUGUAUUCAUCUGUAAAUUACAUGUUAGUAUAAAUUUUAUUUUAUCUAUAAAAUGGCUACUAUGCUGUAUAUAGUUGAAUUUUAUGCAGAGCAACAUGGAUCGCAAACUUUAAUGAUUGUCGCAGUCUUUUCUCGUGAUGGAAAAGCCUGAUACUUUGCAUAAAAUAAACGAUUUUAUUCACAAGCA